rnacentral:lncRNA from 1 species
CAGAGAAGGAGGGCGAUUGUUUCUUUGGUGCUCUGGCACUUGCGGGCCUGGGAUUGGGGUGGGCGCUUCCUUACUCUGGGAAAAGGGCGGAGCCUAGAGAAAGAUCAAGGUUUUUCCUAUACCUGAGGGUCGGGAGGGGGAAGAGGCAGGUUUUAUUCCAUGAGGACUGUCACUUUCCCAUGUAUUCAGAGAAAGAAAUCAGUGGGUUUUAAAAUUUUUAAUUUUUGAAAGUAAUUCAUUUUUAAAGUAAUUAAGGAUAAUGAGUUUGACAGCCCAGGGCCUGGCCUAUGGUAUGUGUUCAGUGUAUGCGUGCUGAGGAUUGAUGCAUAGAUGGAUGGAUGGGUGAACGAACGGCAAGUUCCCACCUCAGGGCGUCACCCUAUUUGAUUUAAGGAGAGGCACUGACUUGUUCUCUCCCCUACAGAGGCCCCCCGGGAGGUGCUGCUGCAUCUGCUGGUGGAAGAGACGCGCUCAGGAGAGGCAGAGGUGGUCCUGCAGGCCUCUGGCUGUCACCAACCCUCCCGAGCUUUCUGGGCCCGGGAAGGCAGGCCCCUGGCUCCGGGAGGCGGGGGACGCCUGCGGCUCAGCGGGGAUGGGUGCAGACUCCUCAUUGGCAACUUCAGCCUGGACUGGGACCUGGGAAAUUACUCCGUGCUGUGCAGCGGGGUGCUGGGUGCGGGGGGCGACCAGAUCACCCUCAUUGGUGAGCCUCAACCUUUCCAAAGCCCCUGGCUUUCAGUCCCGAGGGCCCGCCCUAAAACCCGGGCCAGCAGCCGCCAGCCCCUCCUUCUCAGACCCAGGGGCCCAGACCCCCAGGCCCCACCCCACUCCCCUGUGCACCCCAACAUCCACCCCUUCUUCCCCCAGGCCCUUCCAUUUCCUCCUGGAGGCUGCAGAGAGCCCGAGGCGCAGCAGUGCUGACUUGGGAUGUGGAGCGCGGGGCCCUGAUCAGUGGCUUUGAGAUCCAGGCGCGCACAGAGGGGGCCGACCUCAGCAGGGCAACCGCUUACAGGAACUGGGUCUCCCUGCUAGUCCUGGGGCCGCAGGAGCGGUCAGCCGUGCUGUCUCUCCCUCCUGGGAGCCCCAGGACCUGGGCUUUGCGCAUCCUGCCCCUGCUGGGGACUCAUCCAGGGACUCCAUCACAAAUCCGACUCUACCAGGCAGGUCCCAUCCUGGGCCCUGGGGCCAUCAUUGGCAUUGUCCUGGGCUCUCUCCUGGGCAUGGCCCUGCUGGUCACACUCAUUCUCCUGUGUGUCUGCUGCCUGCUGCACUGUAGAGGAAAGUCUCCUAAUUUGGAAAAGAAAUAUCCCCCGACCUCGGCGCCUGUGGUCUUCACCCCAGAAAAGGAGACGUGUGGUGUGACCCCAGUGCAGACCCCACAACUGCCGCCCUUCACAUUUCUGCAGGAAGACCCCAGCCCAGCCAGGGCCCAUCCAGCCGCCGGCCCCAAGACCCCCAAGACUGUCAUCACUCCAGCUGGGGGCCCCAAAACUGUCCGAGCAGCCACGCAGGUGUGAUCCGCACCAGGAGCCCCCUCUGCGCUAGGAAUUUGGGGCCAAGACUUCCUGUUUUGCUCCGUAUCCAGUAGGGCCUGCUGUGCCUGGGAGUUGGACCCCAAAAGUGAGACUCCUAUCUUCCCCUCUUGUUGGAGAAGACUCAGCCUGUGUCUGUGCAACUACGCAGUGUGGUCUGCACAACCGAGGCCCCACAGCAGCCAGGCCGGCCUGCUGCGCUGCUCCCGGCUGGUAGAGGAACCUGGCUGGGUCUCUGGCUGCACUUCCUCCUCCACUUCUGGCACAGCUCCCAGAGACUUCAUCCUAAGGCAGAUCAGAUCACCUCCCUGUCCUUUUCAAGGCUUCCAGGGCUGUAAGCUGCCCUUCAGGCGUUAUCCACACCCUCCUCCUGACCUGCAAGGUCUCCUGGUUUGGCCUGGCCUGUGUCGCCGCCCGUGACCUCCCUUCCUGAGACUGACACCUCCUCGGGGACACAGGCUUUCUCCCAGCCUUGCUUCUGCUCCCACCAGCGCUUUGCCAGGGCACUUCUCCUCCUGCGGCUCACUCUGCGAGGUCAAGGCCACCAUGCCUAUCUCAGGAGACCUUUUCCUUUACCUUGGUCAUAGGUUCAGUCCCAGCAUCCCUGAACUUCCCCUGCUCAUGUGCAGGGAUAUAAUUCCUCCAGUAGCUCAGAUCCCCUCAACAAAAGUUCACGAAGACGAAAACCACACCAUUAUCUGAGCACUUAACGCAGGGCCUGGCACACACCAGACAAUCCAUACACAUUUGCUGAUUGAUCAAGCGCUUUGGUGCCAGUCAAGAGAGCUGCCUGUGUCCUCCCCAGCACGAUGCCUCAUCCUGGCUCAGCACCUCAAUGGCCCCAUCCAGGACCUGGACCCUUUGAAUCUUUCAGCUCUGCCACUAUUUGUUGAGGGGUACCGGGGAUCGAACUCAGGUCCUUGCACUUGUGAGGCAGGCAGUGGAGCCACUGAGCUAAAUCCCCGGCCCAGCUCUGCCACUUUUUAAUGGGUUGGUGUAGUUUAUCCACAUGUUGCCUCCUGUAGUAAAAUGGCUCCUGCCGUUCCGUUUGUCACAUCUUCACAUACCAGCAUCCAAAGACAAAAGGAAGAGGACAGGGCUCCCUUCCUGUAAAAUGAGAUUUCUCCCCUCUCUCUCCCGUGUGUGUGUGUGUGUGUGUGUGUGUGUGUGUGUGUGUUUUUU